GACGAACGCUGGCGGCGUGCCUAAUACAUGCAAGUAGAACGCUGAAGACUUUAGCUUGCUAAAGUUGGAAGAGUUGCGAACGGGUGAGUAACGCGUAGGUAACCUGCCUACUAGCGGGGGAUAACUAUUGGAAACGAUAGCUAAUACCGCAUAACAGCAUUUAACCCAUGUUAGAUGCUUGAAAGGAGCAAUUGCUUCACUAGUAGAUGGACCUGCGUUGUAUUAGCUAGUUGGUGAGGUAACGGGUCACCAAGGCGACGAUACAUAGCGGACCUGGGAGGGUGAUCGGCCAAACUGGGACUGGGACACGGCCCAGACUCCUACGGGAGGCAGAAGUAGGGGAUCUUCGGCAAUGGGGGCAACCCUGACCGAGCAACGCCGCGUGAGUGAAGAAGGUUUUCGGAUCGUAAAGCUCUGUUGUAAGAGAAGAACGUGUGUGAGAGUGGAAAGUUCACACAGUGACGGUAACUUACCAGAAAGGGACGGCUAACUACGUGCCAGCAGCCGCGGUAA
rnacentral:rRNA from 1 species